CCUACGGGUGGCAGCAGUGGGGAAUAUUGCACAAUGGGGGGAACCCUGAUGCAGCGACGCCGCGUGAGUGAAGAAGGAUUUCGGUUUGUAAAGCUCUAUCGUCAGGGAAGAACGUGACUGUGCCUGACUAGGAAACACCGGCUAAAUACGUUCCAGGAGCGGGGGGAAUACGUAGGUGGCAAGCGUUAUCCUGAUUUACUGGGUGUAAAGGGAGCGUGGACGGUUUAGAAGGUCUGAAAGUAAAGCCCGAGGGUCAACCAUGGGUACGCUUUGGAAACUUUAAAACUGGAGUGCAUGAGAGGGAAGUGGAAUUCCUAGUGUAGCGGUGAAAUGCGUAGAUAUUAGGAGGAACACCAGUGGCGAAGGUGGCUCACUGGCCUGUAACUGACGUUGAGGCUCGAAGGCGUGGGGAGCAAACAGGAUUAGAUACCCGUGUAGUC
rnacentral:rRNA from 1 species